ACUGUUACGAGUUGGGAUUCACAGUUUUGCCUUUGUGGGCAGAUCCACCCAGCCACAUGCUCCUGCCUGCUGCAACUUCCAGGAUGUGGCUGAAGACUCCAAAGGCAGUGCAUGCACAAACAUAUGACCAAAUCCAGAAGCACGGGCGCUACGGAUGGAGCCUUUCCCUUAGAAAAGCCACCGCUGUGACUGUCAUACAUCUGAUUUCUAAAGACUGACCACUCCUGUCUCCCAAGCCCUUAGUGCUCUGCGAGUUGAUCAUCUCAGCCCUUGUCAUUAACACUGGUGAGUAACGCCAAACUCUGCCAGCUCAGUAGUGCCGUAGGAAAGGGAGACUUGGAUCUGGCUUGAUCUUUCUUCAUUCUUAAAUAUGUUCUCAAGAGGAUACAGUAGAAACUCAACCAAUAGUUAAGCAGAGAAAGGUGAGUUAUCAUGUUUUGCCCUGCCCCUUUUUUUUUUUUUUUUUGUAACCAGCUAAAAUGGCCACUACUAACUUGGCUUGACUAUCUUGUCAACAGGGCUAUCAGCCCAUCCUGUGGCAAUCAGACCUAGGAGAGGACCUAUGAUGCGCAUCUGUGACUGCCCCAGGGGAAGAGGUUUUGGAGAGAAUAAAUAUACCCCUCUGCUCUUAAACA
rnacentral:lncRNA from 1 species